rnacentral:rRNA from 1 species
CAUGAAGCUGGAAUCGCUAGCAAUCGCAGGUCAGCAUACUGCGGUGAAUACGUUCCCGGGUCUUGUACACACCGCCCGUCACACCAUGGGAGCCGGAAAUGCCCGAAGCCAGUGACCCAACCUUAGGGAGGGAGCUGUCGAAGGUGGAGCCGGUAACUGGGGUGAAGUCGUAACAAGGUAAC